UACGGGGGGGGCACGCGUUGUUCGGAAUUACUGGGCGUAAAGGGCUCGUAGGCGGCCAACUAAGUCAGACGUGAAAUCCCUCGGCUUAACCGGGGAACUGCGUCUGAUACUGGAUGGCUAGAGGUUGGGAGAGGGAUGCGGAAUUCCAGGUGUAGCGGUGAAAUGCGUAGAUAUCUGGAGGAACACCGGUGGCGAAGGCGGCAUCCUGGACCAAUUCUGACGCUGAGGAGCGAAAGCCAGGGGAGCAAACGGG
rnacentral:rRNA from 1 species